rnacentral:rRNA from 1 species
ACGGGAGGCAGCAGUGAGGAAUAUUGGACAAUGGGCGAGAGCCUGAUCCAGCCAUGCCGCGUGCAGGAUGACUGCCCUAUGGGUUGUAAACUGCUUUUAUACAGGAAGAAACUGCUCUACGUGUAGAGCCCUGACGGUACUGUAAGAAUAAGGAUCGGCUAACUCCGUGCCAGCAGCCGCGGUAAUACGGAGGAUCCAAGCGUUAUCCGGAAUCAUUGGGUUUAAAGGGUCCGUAGGUGGAUAAUUAAGUCAGAGGUGAAAUCCUGCAGCUCAACUGUAGAAUUGCCUUUGAUACUGGUUAUCUUGAGUUACUAUGAAGUAGUUAGAAUAUGUAGUGUAGCGGUGAAAUGCAUAGAUAUUACAUAGAAUACCAAUUGCGAAGGCAGAUUACUAAUAGUAUACUGACACUGAUGGACGAAAGCGUGGGUAGCGAACGGGAUUAGAUACCCCGGUAGUCCACGCCGUAAACGAUGGUCACUAGCUGUUCGGACUUUAUGUCUGAGUGGCUAAGCGAAAGUGAUAAGUGACCCACCUGGGGAGUACGUUCGCAAGAAUGAAACUCAAAUGAAUUGACGG